rnacentral:rRNA from 1 species
UACGUAGGGGGCAAGUGUUGUCCGGAAUCAUUGGGCGUAAAGAGCGUGUAGGCGGCCUGGUAAGUCCGCUGUGAAAGUCCAGGGCUCAACCCUGGAAUGCCGGUGGAAACUGUCAGGCUCGAGUCCGGAAGAGGCGAGUGGAAUUCCUGGUGUAGCGGUGAAAUGCGCAGAUAUCAGGAGGAACACCAAUGGCGAAGGCAGCUCGCUGGGACGGUACUGACGCUGAGACGCGAAAGCGUGGGGAGCAAACAGG